GAUGAACGCUGGCGGCGUGCCUAAUACAUGCAAGUCGAGCGAACAGACGAGGAGCUUGCUCCUCUGACGUUAGCGGCGGACGGGUGAGUAACACGUGGAUAACCUACCUAUAAGACUGGGAUAACUUCGGGAAACCGGAGCUAAUACCGGAUAAUAUAUUGAACCGCAUGGUUCAAUAGUGAAAGACGGUUUUGCUGUCACUUAUAGAUGGAUCCGCGCCGCAUUAGCUAGUUGGUAAGGUAACGGCUUACCAAGGCAACGAUGCGUAGCCGACCUGAGAGGGGGACAGCCAACAGGGGAGCAAGAACCGGGCCAAGCCACCAAGGGGAGGAAAAAGGGGGGAAUCUUCCGAAGGGGGGAAAACCCUGACGGGGCAACGCGGGGGGAGUGAUGAGGUUGUUGGAAACAAAAAACUUUGUUAUGAGGAAAAAAAAAAGGUGAAAAAAACUAUGCCGGUCUGGACGGUACCAAAUAAAAAAGCACCGGCAAACACCGUC
rnacentral:rRNA from 1 species